GCCACACAGGAGGCCACCAGCAGAGCCCAGAGUAGUAACUGGGUUUCUUCACUCUUAGCCUCUCAAGUGAUGAGACCAAGGCAUGAUCUUAUCUCUUGAUUGUGGCCACCAGUAAAGAAAAGCAUAUCUCUAAUCUCAGAAGCACAAGGAGUUCAUACAGGAAGCCAAGAUUAGAGCAUCAUGCUAUCAUCUUUCAAAAUUACUAUGUAGGAUCGGUGGAACACUGGACACUGACGGAGUGGGCCCUGAAUCCUUCACUGCUUCCUCAUGGCAGGAUCUCCAGGAAGGGGGCCCUCUUUGCUUGUCUCCUCCCUUUGUGGCGAAUAUGGGUGGGGGAUGGAUCUGGGCAUGCUCAGAUCAGCCCCUCCCUUGCUCUUCUCUCUUUGGAUCUUGCUCGCAAUGAGAGGGCUUUUUCUUCCUGUUUUUUGGAGGGUGGGAUCUGCGUGGAGCUGUUCAAUGCUGCCUGUGACUGGGUGUUAGUAUGCUUAGCUCAAGGUGAAGAAUAAGCCAGCUCAUGAGGCCCAGCAGUACAUCCCCUUUCUCCUCUGAGU